rnacentral:rRNA from 1 species
UACAGAGGGGGCAAGCGUUGUUCGGAAUUACUGGGCGUAAAGGGCGCGUAGGCGGCCUUGUAAGUCAAAGGUGAAAUCCCUCGGCUCAACUGAGGAACUGCCUUUGAAACUGCAAGGCUUGAGGCCGGGAGGGGGUAGCGGAAUUCCCAAUGUAGCGGUGAAAUGCGUAGAUAUUGGGAAGAACACCGAUGGCGAAGGCAGC